rnacentral:rRNA from 1 species
UACGUAGGGUGCGAGCGUUGUCCGGAAUUAUUGGGCGUAAAGAGCUCGUAGGCGGUUUGUUGCGUCCGCUGUGAAAACUCGGGGCUUAACCCCGAGCCUGCAGUGGAUACGGGCAGACUAGAGGUAGGUAGGGGAGAAUGGAAUUCCCGGUGUAGCGGUGAAAUGCGCAGAUAUCGGGAAGAACACCGGUGGCGAAGGCGGCUCACUGGCCAGUUUCUGACGCUGCAGCGCGAAAGCGUGGGGAUCAAACAGG